GACGAACGCUGGCGGCGUGCCUCUUACAUGCAAGUUGAGCGCUGAAGGUUGGUACUUGUACCGACUGGAUGAGCAGCGAACGGGUGAGUAACGCGGGGGGAAUCUGCCUUUGAGCGGGGGACAACAUUUGGAAACGAAUGCUAAUACCGCAUAAAAACUUUAAACACAAGUUUUAAGUUUGAAAGAUGCAAUUGCAUCACUCAAAGAUGAUCCCGCGUUGUAUUAGCUAGUUGGUGAGGUAAAGGCUCACCAAGGCGAUGAUACAUAGCCAACCUGAGAGGGUGAUCGGCCACAUUGGGACUGAAACACGGCCCAAACUCCUACGGGAGGCAGCAGUAGGGAAUCUUCGGCAAUGGACGAAAGUCUGACCGAGCAACGCCGCGUGAGUGAAGAAGGUUUUCGGAUCGUAAAACUCUGUUGGUAAAGAAAAACGUUGGUGAGAGUGGAAAGCUCAUCAAGUGACGGUAACUACCCAAAAAGGGACGGCUAACUACGUG
rnacentral:rRNA from 1 species